AUGAUUUUAAUAUUUAAUGGCCGCGGUAUUUUGACCGUGCGAAGGUAGCAUAAUCAUUAGCUCAUUUAUUGUGGGAUAGUAUGAAUGGUUUGACGAAAUAUUAUCUGUCUCAUUUUAAUAAUUUAAAAUUUAAUUUUUUAGUUAAAAAGCUUAAUUUUUUUUAAAGGACGAGAAGACCCUAUAGAUCUUUAUUUUUAUUAUUUUUAUAUUUUUUGGCUUAUUUUGUUAUAUUUAUAUUUAUUAUUUUGUUGGGGUGAUAUUAGGAUAUAUUUAACUCCUUUUAUUUUUUAUCAUUUAUUUUUGUUUUUUUGAUCUUUUAUUAUUGCUUAUAAGAAUAAGAUACCUUAGGGAUAACAGCGUAAUUCUUUUUGAGAGUUCAUAUUUACAAUAGAGUUUGCGACCUCGAUGUUGAAUUAAGAUUAUUAUUAGGUGAAGUAGCUUAAUUAUUAAGUCUGUUCGACUUUUAAUAUCUUACAUGAUCUGAGUUCAAA
rnacentral:rRNA from 2 species